rnacentral:rRNA from 1 species
GACGAACGCUGGCGGCGUGCUUAACACAUGCAAGUCGAGCAGUAAGGCCCUUUCGGGGGGUACACGAGCGGCGAACGGGUGAGUAACACGUGGGUGACCUGCCCUUAGCUCUGGGAUAAGCCUGGGAAACUGGGUCUAAUACCGGAUAUGACUCCAUGACGCAUGUUGUGGGGUGGAAAGCCUUGUGCGGCUAGGGAUGGGCCCGCGGCCUAUCAGCUUGUUGGUGGGGUGAUGGCCUACCAAGGCGACGACGGGUAGCCGGCCUGAGAGGGCGACCGGCCACACUGGGACUGAGACACGGCCCAGACUCCUACGGGAGGCAGCAGUGGGGAAUCUUGCGCAAUGGGCGAAAGCCUGACGCAGCGACGCCGCGUGAGGGAUGAC